UCCAGCCAUGCCGCGUGAGUGAUGAAGGCCUUAGGGUUGUAAAGCUCUUUCGCCCGCGAAGAUAAUGACGGUAGCGGGAGAAGAAGCCCCGGCUAACUACGUGCCAGCAGCCGCGGNUAAUACGUAGGGUGCGAGCGUUAAUCGGAAUUACUGGGCGUAAAGCGUGCGCAGGCGGCUUUGUAAGACAGAUGUGAAAUCCCCGGGCUCAACCUGGGAACUGCAUUUGUGACUGCAAGGCUAGAGUGCGUCAGAGGGAGGUGGAAUUCCGCGUGUAGCAGUGAAAUGCGUAGAGAUGCGGAGGAACACCGAUGGCGAAGGCAGCCUCCUGGGAUGACACUGACGCUCAUGCACGAAAGCGUGGGGGGCAAACAGGAUUAGAUACCCUGGUAGUCCACGCCCUAAACGAUGUCAACUAGUUGUCGGGGAUUCAUUUCCUUGGUAACGCAGCUAACGCGUGAAGUUGACCGCCUGGGGAGUACGGCCGCAAGUUAAAACUCAAAGGAAUUGACGGGGACCGCACAAGCGUGGAUGAUGAGGAUUAAUUCGAUGCAACGCGAAAAACCUUACCUA
rnacentral:rRNA from 1 species